rnacentral:rRNA from 1 species
AUUGAACGCUGGCGGCAUGCUUUACACAUGCAAGUCGAACGGUAACAGGCCGCAAGGUGCUGACGAGUGGCGAACGGGUGAGUAAUGCAUCGGAACGUGCCCAGUCGUGGGGGAUAACGCAGCGAAAGCUGCGCUAAUACCGCAUACGAUCUAUGGAUGAAAGCGGGGGACCGUAAGGCCUCGCGCGAUUGGAGCGGCCGAUGUCAGAUUAGGGAGUUGGUGGGGUAAAGGCUCACCAAGCCGACGAUCUGUAGCUGGUCUGAGAGGACGACCAGCCACACUGGGACUGGGACACGGCCCAGACUCCUACGGGAGGCAGCAGUGGGGAAUUUUGGACAAUGGGCGCAAGCCUGAUCCAGCAAUGCCGCGUGCAGGAAGAAGGCCUUCGGGUUGUAAACUGCUUUUGUACGGAACGAAACGGUCCUGGUUAAUACCUGGGGCUAAUGACGGUACCGUAAGAAUAAGCACCGGCUAACUACGUGCCAGCCGCCGCCGUAAGAC